UUCCAAAGAGAUGCCCUCUCCAAAAGGCCAACCAGUUGCUCCCCAAGAUGUCAGAAACACAGCAACUUGGGAUAAAAUGUGGUAUGCCCAAUGUCUGUGAGAGGAAUGGGAUGUUUCCUUUUGACUUAAGACUGCCUACAUAU
rnacentral:snoRNA from 1 species